rnacentral:lncRNA from 1 species
UAGGUCAUGUGAGGUUAUGAUGUAUUCAUAAUGAUUAUCCUAUAAGGUAUGAAUUUAAAUGAUUUGUGUUUCUAUUUCAUUCUAGUUGGCAAGGAAGACACAAACUAUUCAUGUCAUGUGUUUUAAAAAGCUCACAAAAAGAACCCUCUCCUCUCCUUUUAAUUUGGGGAAUAGAGAUAGGGCUAAAAUUUAGUUAUUGUCUGCUAUAUGCCAGGAGCUUUAUAUAUUAUUUUAUUAAUUUUCACAUUGAUUCUGAUGGGUAGGUAUUAUCAUUGCUAUUUUAUGGCCAAGGAAAUUGAUGCUUAGAGCGGAGAAGUAACUUGUUCUGAGGCACAUAUCAAGGGAAACAUAGAAGGGGUUCAGAGCCAGGUCUGCUGGAUUGCAGUGCCUGUGCUCAUUGUGGCAUUUAGUGUGGGCAACAUGGUGAACCAUCUCUAACAGAACCCAAGCCUACUGUGUUCAUGAGUGGCUUUCAGCACAGUAUCUUCUGUGUCUCAAGGUGUCAGUUUCCUGUCUGUAGGAAAGCCUGUUCUGAUGGUAGGUGUUUCCACCUUUGCCACUGAUGACCUUUCUGUAGUAGUCAGAUCGGGGCAUUCAAACCAUUGCUCCACUCAACAACUGAUCAUCCCCAAUCCUGUCUCCUACAAUACCCGCAACCCCCACCAAGUGCCUCCAUGAUGCAUGAUUCUAAAGGUAGACCACUGUCCUUGGACUAUGGCACAGUUUCUAAGUGGUCUGCUGCCCACUAUCUAAUAAUAAUAAUAAUAAUGAUAAUGUCUAUUUUUCUUUAAGUCUUAAGAUUGUGUUCUCAUUCUCGAUCAGUGGUUUGGAGAGAAGCCAGGAGACCCUAUGGCACAGAGGACAGAGUACUGGGCCCAAUAUAUCUGUCCUUGUGUGACUUACUGGCUGUGUGGCUUUAAGGAGUCUUUUAAUUAUCUGAGCCUCAGCUCUUUC